AAUAAAAUAAUGUUGUUUGUUUUUAGAUUCCCGGCUGUUAAGGGGGGUUUGCUCAAGGCAAAACCACAGUCCCCUCGAAUAACUUUAGAAGGAGAGUUAAGAAGACACACUAAUUGUGCCUGUCUGAGGUUUGCUCCUUCGAGGGCCCAGACACACCCCUUGCACACUGGUCUGGCCACCAGGGCUCCAGUGCCCACUGCUGAGUUGAUUCCAUUGGACAGGGCUCCUGCCCCUUUGGAAGAUGCUUGAUUUUGCUGUGAGCAGUUCUUAAGGGGAUUUAAAAAUGGACUAAGCUCUCGGAGCAGACUUGGGCAAGCACGCUGUAUAUGCUAUCUGUCUGUCCUACAGAAUGGAGAAAGGGAAACACAACUUAAUGAAAGAAGACUGAUUAUAACAUGCUCCUUACUUCCCAUCACCCCCUCCCCCAUCCUUUGCUACUUAGCCAAGCUCUUGCUCUGGUGUCUUAUUGGGCUGCUUUCAAAUGAGAAGGGGACAAGUAAUCCUGUGCCCCCCGCCCUGCCCCGGAGUUCUUUGGCCAGGAAGAACUCACUAAAUAUGAGUAUUACAUGCCAGGCAUGCUCUCAUUAAAUCCUUCACACGUCCCUUGAAGUAGGUACUAUUCUUUUCCCUGUGUCACAAAUGAGGAAACCAAGACUCAAGAGACGUUAAGUAUCUUGCUCAUGGUCUCAGCUAGCAAAUAAGAAUGCUAAGAUUUGAAUCCAGGUCUGAUGGCCCCCCAAGCCCUGUUCCAUAUGAGGAUUUCUCAAUAAAACUCAGUACAGGAAGUUUUUAUGAUAGUCUAUGCCCAGAAUUUCUUAUUGUCCCCUGGUUCUCAGUAUCAGAUGUAUCAUUCCUAGCUUAGAGUAGAAGGGAAGGGUGAUCUCAGAUUAUUUACCAUUGUAAGUGCAUUUGCUAUCAGAGAAUUCCACAGCCUGAGGACCUGGUGAAUCCUGACAAGCCUUUUGAGGUUCAUCUUAAACUAUUUUACAGCCUAUUAAAGUCAGUAAAGAGAGAAUUAAGGUAAACUUGAAGUAUUUGCCCCACCGGUUUAAAAUUGGAAGGUAACGUGGAAAAAGCAGAGAUAAAUUUACAAACUGUUACAGUGCAAUGUGAUAUGACGUGAACUGAAUUGGACCAUCUUAAAAAUCUCUACUAUAAUUAGAAAAUGACGUUCUUCAACAAAAGUUGGAAAUAAUGGAAAACCAACUUAAAAGUAAAUAUCUAUGGGUACUUGGCUUCAAAGUGUGUCUGGAGGGAAUGGAGACAGUUUACAGAAUGUGGGAUUUGCUGGAAUUACUUUUGGACAUAAAAUCUCCAUCACGCCUAAUGGUGGAAAAGCCUUACUCUAUUCCCAACAAGUUACCUGUUAUCCCUAAAGUUAAAGGCGGAUAUCUACCACUGCGUUUUGCUGCCCCCUCACCCAUUCUUAAAUAAAUGAAAGCAAAUUACUGACUAACCCACACCAAAAAUUUAUAGCAUUUUUUUUCCUGGACAAAAGGGAUAAAAUAUAUAUAUAUAUAUAAAAUAUACACAUACACAUAUAAAUACAUAUACAUGUGUGUGUGUAUAUAUGUAUAUGUGUAUUAAAAUGUCAUAUUCCUUUUUCAAAAGACUGAUAUAUUUCAAAAUGUGAAUUUCUGUUUUGAAGCAGAAUUUACCUAUGUAAGUUCUAAGUAUACAGAUAUGCUUUAUCAGUUUGAGAAUUUAUGGAGAAUUAGCCACUCCAUGUAAGAGGCUGCUUUUUUUCUGAUGACCUCUUCAUUUGGGCCAGCUCCAGUGUUAUAAAAAGCUUACACUCUGUUAGAGUAACAUAAGAAAUAAGAAAGAUUGGGGAUAGCGGAAAUUGAAACAGGCAUUCUUUUUUCUUCUGAAGACAGAAGUGAAGCGAUUGCCAAUGUUUGUUGAAUUUUAUUACAGUGAAAGCAGAGAUUUCUCCACACUUUCGGUCUCAGCCUUUGUCCAGCCUCACUAUGCAGUGUAUGUAUCACCUUCUGAACUAAAGAAGCAGUUCACACUUGACCUAGAACUUCAGGUUACCUGUGACCACUACUUAUAAAAAUCUUACUACUGGAUAUGCCAAAAGAAUUUCAUUGGUUGAAGAGAGAUAACAUGAAAUGGAAAGCCCAGAUCUCCAGAAAGAAAUGAAGAGAACCAGAAAAGAAAAAUGUGAAACUCCUGACCAAGCCCUCCCAGAAAGAACCACAAAAACAAAACAAAAAGCCCAAGAAGAUACAAAAGCGAAUCCUGAUAACAUAAAUUUUUCUCAUAUAAGCUUGCGGGAUCUUAGUUCCCUGACCAGGGACGGAACCCAGGCCCUCAGCAGUGAAAGCACAGAGUCCUAACCACUGGACCACCAGGGAAUUCCUGUGACCAACUGCUCACUUUUAAAAGCAACAGAGGGGCUUCCCGGGGGGCGCAGUGGUUGAGAGUCCGCCUGCCGAUUCAGGGGACGUGGGUUCGUGCCCCGGUCCAGGAGGAUCCCACAUGCCGCGGAGCGGCUGCACCCAUGAGCCAUGGCCGCUGAGCCUGCACGCACAUCCGGAGCCACACAAAAAAACGAAGUUCAUAAUAAAUUGCAUCAGUAAAUCUGGAUUCGAGCCACUGCUCUCUGCCAUCAUCUUAAAAGUCAUGGAGGACAACUGUACAUAAGAGGAGGGCAUGAUCAUGGGCGCACUGUGCUGGGACUCCCUGCAGCAGCUGCAGCCUCGGCUGGGACAGGAGAUGAGGCAGACGACUGUUAACGACUGUGACACCAGAGUCCCUUUCUGCAGCGCCCUUCUGGCUGAGUGUGAGGUCUCACAGGAAGGCACGUCUACCUGGGCUUGAAUGGAGCUCUCUCCAUUGGCAGUCACAGGAGUCACAGAACCUCUAUCAGGAGGUUCUUGACACCGAGGUGGACAGAGAAAGGCUGCCCCUCUCGACUCCACCUAAAGUAGGCAUCAUAGAGAUCUUUCCCAAAACUCUAUUAUACUUUCAGUUAAAAUUAUGAUGUGAUCAAAAGAGGGUUGUGGGGAGGUAAAUUAGAAUAUCCACCAAAUAUCCAAAUGUGAUAUUCAGAAUAUAAUGUCAUUGCUAUUCUCAUCCAACAUUUUUGAAUAGUCUUAAGGAGUAGGUAAUAAUAAUAUCAUACGGCAUGCACUACAUUUAACCAUAUCUCUAUAAAGAUUUCUCCUUCUUCCUAAUUGUCUAGGUCAAGGCCAAAAUUUUUAAUUUCUGAUCUGCAUUGUGAGUGGUAUUGAAAGCAAUACUCUUGUGGACAGGAGGGAAUACAGAAUUUGAGGGGCCCAGUGCAAAAUGGAAACAUGGAGUACCUUGUUGAAAAAUGUCUUAACAGUUGGAAGACAAUGACAACAGAGCAUUAAACCAAGCUCAGGGCUCCUCUGCACGGGGCCCUGCAAGAUGGCACAGGUGGGACAACCAUGAAGCCAGCCUCGCUCUGAAACAGGACCUUACGAAAGAUAGCCUGCUGCCCCCUCCUCCCUUCUCCUCAGCCUAACAGAGGUCUCAGUCAAGUAAACCAUGGGAGAAUGAAUGUGAGAUGUCCUCCGGUAGACAGACACCAGUUCUAUGUACUGGUCCCAAGGAAAAUGGAGCAACAGAGUGUCCUCUAAAAACUACCAUUUACUUCCUUAUACAGAUUGUAUUGUAAGGCUUAUCGAAAAGUGUUCCAUCUUCUUCCUAGAGGGUUCCACAAAGCAAGGUUUUCUAUCCAAAGGCCAGCGUGACCCUGGUGAUGGGCUCUGUUUUAAUGGGGCCUGGAGGACUAGUUUUGGAUACAGAUAAUGGUAGCACUGUCUCCUGGCAAUCUGAUCCUCAGUGACAUAUUUUUUCUUUCUCUGUAUUUUUUUCCUUUUAAAAUCACUUCCUGCUUAAACCCCUUCCCUCUCGUCAGUCGUGCACCAGCGUUGGAUUUGACCUCAAAUUCUAAAUGGGCCAGGUUGCCGUGAAGGCGCUCCACCUGGCUUUCUGCAGUGUAGGUGAUUAGGAAGGCUGGGGAAGCACUGUUUAGGGGGUGCCCUUCUAAGGACAGCUGUGCUCUGUCAGGUCUAGGUUUAGUGAACGAGACAAUAGUAAUUACAGUAAUGGCAGCAUUUGCCUAUGAGCUACCAUCUCUCCGAAGUGGGCUUCAGCUAAACUCAGCUGGAGGAGUUGUCUUUCCUUUUAGGAACGUGGAACCUCUACAGAGUUGGUCUUCAGAGACUUAGAACAGGCUAUAGAGGCAAGCAAAGAGAAACAGAAAAGGACCCCUCUAUUUCUCCCCCAAAAUACAUAUAAAUAUUUUUGUAAGGUAUUUACAAAUUUAAGAGAAAAACUAUACUUACAACAAAAUUAUCUUGUCAAGUCUCAGUUUUUCUGAGCUAUAGGUUACUUUUUAGGAUCAAACAAUACAGAAAGAACUGUUCAAACGUAUAAGCUUAUCCUGAUUUUCGGUCAUUCAGAAAAGGGCUCGAAGAUUAUAAUAUUACCUACUCUCAAUAAAAGAGCAUAUCCCCCCCAUUUUUUUUUUCCCCCUGGUAGUGAAUUUGUAGGGAUAAACAACCCUACAAAUUUUGGGGCCUAUUAUGUCACAGAGAUUUUUUUCUAUAGCCUGUCUAGACUCCAGACAAUAGAUGAGACUGGCCUAGAGUUGCAGACAUUUCCAUAGUCUGUAAUGUCCCUUAGAAAAGUAAGGGCAAUAAUACUAAAAUGAAAACCAGCCUGAUCUGCUGGCAUGAUAGGAGAAAUAUGAGUAUGACAACACUUUACAACUUAGAAAUGAUGACAACAACCUAGGAAGAAGUUUUAGCAGCCAUAUAUCAGCCAAAGCAACUUCUACAAAAUCAUACAUACUCCCCCAGUAUGAGUCAUAUUCAAGUAAUGUUGUCCAAUGGCUAUAAAAUCACCUUAUUGCAGAAAAUUCUGUGUAUAUGUUAUGUUGUAUUUUCUUAUUGCCUAGAGGUGGUGUGUGUGAAUGUAUAUUACAUAUAUAUGAAUAUAUGACCACAAAUCAUUUGUGGUCAGCAUACAGAUUUUUCAAAAUGCCUUACUUUAAAUAAACCAGAUUGUUAGACUAUUCUGCUUUUCAGCCCUCUUGGAUAAAACAAUUAAUGUUGCAUAUAAUCUUAAGAGAAUUAAGGGACGUUAUGUAUAAGCAAGGGAAGUGGAGAAAAGAGUUUUUAAAUUUCAUCUAUUUUCUACCAUUUCGUCUCUGAGCAUGUCUCCACAUACCUAUUUUCCCUCCUACAAUUGUACUUGUUCUAAACAAAGGAAAGGAGGAGAGAAACCUUUUGUUUCUUUAUAUUCUCCUUCUUUGCUACCUUUUAAAUUUUUAAAUAAAUGAACCAAUGUAGAAUAAGUGUUUUUGUUGCUUGGUUUUAUGAUGAUGAAGACCAUGAAAAAGAUGCACUGAUUUUAAAUAUUCAUUGAAGAAAAUAUUGCUUUAAAAAUAUUGGCAAUAUUUUUAAUUCAGAGGGUAUUCUCUUUCUCAAAGACUCCAAACUACGUCAGUAGUCACUGGACCAUUUGCAUCUUCACCACUGGGGAUGAAUAUUAACAGAGUCUUUGUCACUGUUAGAAUGACUCAGCUUAUGACAUCAGGAGUA